rnacentral:rRNA from 1 species
CCUACGGGUGGCAGCAGUGAGGAAUAUUGGUCAAUGGACGGAAGUCUGAACCAGCCAAGUAGCGUGAAGGAUGACUGCCCUACGGGUUGUAAACUUCUUUUAUAAAGGAAUAAAGUGAGGCACGUGUGCCUUUUUGUAUGUACUUUAUGAAUAAGGAUCGGCUAACCCCGUGCCAGCAACCGCGGUAAUACGGAGGAUCCGAGCGUUAUCCGGAUUUAUUGGGUUUAAAGGGAGCGUAGAUGGGUUGUUAAGUCAGUUGUGAAAGUUUGCGGCUCAACCGUAAAAUUGCAAUUGAUACUGGCAGCCUUGAGUACAGUUGAGGUAGGCGGAAUUCGUGGUGUAGCGGUGAAAUGCUUAGAUAUCACGAAGAACUCCGAUUGCGAAGGCAGCCUACUAAACUGCCACUGACAUUGAUGCUCGAAAGUGUGGGUAUCAAACAGGAUUAGAUACCCUGGUAGUC